rnacentral:lncRNA from 1 species
CUGGGGAAAAAAACACUUUUCAAACUUACAUGAACUUCUCUCCUAUUAGUCGUACUGUGUACGAGCAAAUGUAGUAGUUGGAAUAUCACCGCUAGCUGUUUAGCUUUGUCAAAAGUAGCGUAUUUGUGAGGUAACUGAACUUAGAAAUCGAUAUAUUUGAAUUUUCAAUUAACAAUUUUAGUUCAGUUGGUAGGGUUAUUUAUUUUGUAAUUUGGAGGUUCGUAUUUAAAUCUAGUCACACCUAAAACAUAGAGACCUAUAAUAUUGAGUGAAUUUUUCACCCUUGUGUUGCUUUGGAUUUUGCCGUACAGACUUAUCCCCUCUCAAAAAUAUGUUUCGUGUUUUUCGAUGGAAUUUGAUAGGUGGAUAUUAAAGAGACAUGAAGUUAGUGCUUUAAAGACGGCUAUGCCUAAACAUUCAAUACAUAACAAGUGUAGUCAUCGUACCGGAAAAAAAUAGAGAAAAAGAUGUUAAUUUCUAAAAUAACUUGUUAAUCUUUUAAGAAAUAAUGAUUCAAUGAGGCACAACCUGUCAGAUUAUUAUCGAAAAUAACAUAACCUAUUGAAAAUGCCACGGUCAAUCGUAACGGUUAUUGGUCAACGUCAUAAUUUGUUGUUAAGGUAGACGAUUAGCACACACCGUUAUUGCAGUUGGAGGAUUUGCUGCCACAUCAAUGCCACAGCGGAUGCAGUUUGUGCCACGUGGACUUUGGCGAGCUGCCACGUGUUCAUUUAAAAGAUAAGGUUCCCUAUCCUGAUGGCAUCUUCCCCACACCCACAACCCCACUGUUGGUUUUUCUUCAUCUGCGAUUUCUUUAGGGUUCGCAGUCAUCGUCUCUUGGUUUCUUUAUCGGACUCGUUGAAUCCACGAUUAGAUUUAUUCCUCUUCCAAUCUAGUUGUUUCCGGUGAGAGGUUUCGCCCACACUGGAUCGGUGCAAUGAAGACGACGUCGCCGUCCACCACUGAGUCAUCGAGCUCGACUCAGCAUCCAAAACAGUGUAGGCACAGAAAACAAGCUGAUCUUUUUGUUUCUGGGACGACGGAGAACCCAGGGAGGAAGUUCUAGCGAUGCUCUUUGUGGACGGCAAAGUUGGCGUUGAGUUAAAUUAGUCCUGUAGUUGCCCCUUGCCCCCUUUUGCUUAUUUGGAGUUCCAUUGCUGAAAAAUUACAGGACAAGAAGGUUGAUUGCAAAUAUUUUGAGUGGGCUGAUCCAGCCGAUUGCAAAGGCGAAAGAGAAACAUACUGCGGUAGGUCAUCCGAUCGCAUUUGUGAGGACUGCAAUUUGACAGCCAUCACUUGCCGAUCGAAUACUGGAAUCGAGUACCAUACGAUGGACUCCGUGCUGAAGGAUUUGGUUGCCAUCAAGAUCAAGUUAGCCGCUUUGAAAGAAGCUCAAGAUGCAUCGCUGGAGGAAAUAAAACAAGUUAAUGCGAUUAUGUCUAGAUUGGUUACUGAUUUGUGGUUUGUUGUUGGUGUUUGUAACUACAACUAUAGGUUUGUUUGUGGCCGUUGUUUUUGGCUCUUCAUCUGCCAAACGUAUAUAGAGAGGCACCCAGACAAACGAACAGCGAAGAAAGGAAGCGCCAUACCUUUUCGAAUGUUAUCGACGGUGUACAGGGAAAAGGAGGCGGGGACGAUCGACUGCUGCAAUCUACGGAAAUCGAGGACUGGUUCGGGAACCCUAACCGUCGCCGAUUUAAACUCUCGUGGAUCUGGAUUCGUGUCACAUGCUCGACGG